UGCGCAGUAUGCUGUGCGUCGUAUCGUUUUCGUUUUUCGUUUCCUUCUCUCAGUCCGCCAUAUUUUUAUUUGUACACGUAUAAAGCGCUACAAAUUUAUUUUGUGCAUUUUAACGGUGCAUAUUCUUUUCAAACCUGAUUUACAACUGAAAGUUAGUGACCAUUGCUGUGAAAAUGAGUUACGGAAGACCUCCGCCUCGGAUCGACGGUAUGGUUUCCUUAAAAGUCGACAAUCUAACGUACCGCACCACACCGGAGGAUUUGAGAAGAGUUUUCGAAAGAUGUGGAGAAGUCGGUGACAUUUAUAUUCCCAGGGAUCGGUUUACAAGAGAAAGCAGAGGCUUCGCUUUCGUCAGGUUCUAUGACAAGCGUGACGCCGAAGACGCAUUAGACGCUAUGGACGGUCGCAUGUUGGACGGAAGGGAGCUGAGAGUCCAGAUGGCAAGAUAUGGCAGGCCGACCAGCCCCCACAGGAGAUACCGUGGACGAAGGAGGUCUCGUUCACGCUCAAGAUAUUCUCGCUCUAGGUCACGCGGAAGAAGAAGCCGAUCCAGGUCUCACCACCGGAGGUCCGUCAGUAGGAGUCGCUCCAGGUCCGACAGCAAGAGUUCCAGGGGCAGAUCCAGGUCGCCUUCGAAGGAGGACAAGGGGAGGUCCAAAUCGAACAGCAAGUCACGGUCUCGGUCUAGGUCUUAGGUGAAUUGGUGGUUUGCAGAGUGCAGUGCAGUAAAGUAGGCGCCUGCUCUCUAAAGCAGGCGGAGAGUUGCUGUGGGCAGAGAGUAGCUGUUGCAGUGCAGUGCAGCCAAAGGUGCGAGAAUGUACGAGAGUGUAGCGGUGGUAACGGGUGUACGAGAGAGAGAGAGAGCGGACGGCUGCGGUGUGGACCCUUGCCAGGCCCAGGGCGCAGUCUCUCAGUCAGUCAUGCGAACUGUACCACCUGUCCAGCUCACCAAAAAUAUACUUAGAUUGAUGAGAGGCGUAGGGCUAGGUGGAAAAAAACGACAAACCCUCUCGGAUUCGUUAUUUGAUAUCUUUGACGGGUACCCGACGUGUUUUUUUGUUACGUGAUACAAAAUUUGAGUAGAACACUUGAUUUACGAUAUUUUAGGUGUGGCGCUGUGAUCAAUCGAGGUUCGGGAAAUUCGAGUUACUUUUAUUUGUUCAUACUUUAGUGCGGUUUAAAGUUGUAGGGAACUUAAAUCUUGCCGAAAUUACUGUAGUUUUAAUUUCCUAUGUACAAGGCGUUUUGGAAAAGGUAGACGGGACGUCAAAAUAUAUAUUUUUCCUAAGGACCACGGUCUUUUCCGAAAAACGGCGUGACGUAUUGAAAUUUUGUACGGGCAAGGUUUCAAGUGCGAUAAAAUGCAUUGGUGUUGUUUGUUUUUGAGUAUUUGCUGGAGGUUGCUAUGUAGAAGCUUACCCUGUGACAUUUUAUUAUAUAACUUUUUUCAGGUUCGGUUUUAUACAGGGUGUAACUUACGUGCGUGUCAGUUUUU